rnacentral:rRNA from 1 species
AUGAGGGUGACCUCCGUGGUGCACAGGACACCGAUAACUGCCACACAUGUGCUGUAUUGGGUGGUUGUGCCGCACGCCUCGUGUGGCAUGGAGAAGAACCCGCCCGCACGACCGCGUCCGGGCGCGCGCAGCCACAGCCCGCACGUCCGUGUGUGCAACAUUCAUGAUUGUUCACAUUUGCGUAUUGAGCUCAAGCCUAGAAUACAAGUUUUGAUGCUAGAGUAUAAUGGUUGCCAUGUGUUGGCAACAGUAGUUGCCAUGUAUGUUGGACUGUAUCUGCCAUUGCUAUGUGCUGCAGGUUCUGGAAGCUGGUUGCCAUGUGUGGGCAACAGUAGUUGCCAUGACCUUCAACUACAAUUAACAGCGGUGCGGGGACAUCUACUGCGGGGAGCUCUGAGCGCACGGAAGACGCGUUCCACCAACCAGCCAACACUCAUGCCACAAACCGAGUCAGUGUCGGAAAUGGCAAUCGUGCCAGCAAUACCGACAAGCACACCUGUGCACACCAGCACAAGCAACACUCAAGCAGGUGAAACAGCCACCGAUACUGAAGUGAAUGAUGAAACCGAUGACGAAGCACUAGGGGAUGAAGAUGGUGGGCAAUCAGAAAUCAUGGUACCCCAGUCACCGUAUCUUGGGCAGAUAUUUGAUUCGUUUGAAGAUGCAAAGGAAUUCUACCAGACAUAUGCAAAGUUCCAUGGGUUUGCGGUCAACACCGAAUACCAUAGGAAAAUUAAAAAAACUAACGAGUACAGCAGAGGUGAGAUGAGGUGCUACAAGGCACGAAGAAACAAGAAGGGCAAAGGUGAUGCGCCUGUCGUUCCGGAACGAAAGAGAGGUAUCAUUGUCAAGACGGAAUGCCCUGUCCGGUGUAAGCUGAACGUAGAUGGAGCACAGUGGGUGGUAACUGAAUAUUUUGACGAGCACAACCACGAGCUAAUAAAGAAGUUUGACCUGGUAAAAUUUCUGACCGCCCACAGAGGAUUCACCCCCCUCGAGAAGAAAUUCAUAAAGCUGCUACAUGAUUGUAACGUCGGUCCAUCAAGAAUGGUGCAGAUACUCUCCCUCAUCCACAGCAAAAAGGGUCUAUUCCAGGAAGAAAUAAAGCGUGCCAGCAUGUACACGGCUUUCCAGGUGGACGAACAUACGUUCAAGGUGUGUUCUAUCAUGGGCAUGUCCGAUUCAGAACCUGAAGACCCAGACAAGGGAAGGAACUACUUUGUGAAGGCAUCGAUAAGCGAAGGCGGAUACUACUGCCAAUGCUGCAAAUUCGAACGAGGUGGGAUUGUGUGCUGUCACAUUCUAAAAGCUGAACUAAUUGAUGAAGCGUGCAAGAGUGAUGGGACAGCAAGGGUCGCAGAAAAACACAGGAAGGCCCUCAAAAGAGAGCUUGAUGAGAUCAAGAAGAGGAAAGCUGAGGAAGCCUUACACAGGUUCCCCCGCACAUCAAGUGUGCCUUCGUCCACAGGGCCAUCAUCUGAAAACUCGGAGGUAGGAUCUGGAACAGCAAGCACACAAACACAGGUUAGGAACCCGCCCCGUUCCAUCACAAAAGGGCAUCCAAAAGAGAUAAGAUACAAAUCGGGAUUGGAGAUUCAAGCAAAACACAAGAAACCAAAGAAAGGGACGGGCAAUCCGUAA